rnacentral:rRNA from 1 species
ACGGAAGGCAGCAGUGGGGAAUAUUGGGCAAUGGGCGAAAGCCUGACCCAGCAACGCCGCGUGAAGGAUGACGGUCUUCGGAUUGUAAACUUCUUUAAUUGGGGAAGAAUAAAUGACCUACCCAGAGAAUAAGUCACGGCUAACUACGUGCCAGCAGCCGCGGUAAUACGUAGGUGACAAGCGUUAUCCGGAUUUACUGGGCGUAAAGGGCGUGUAGGCGGUUUGGCAAGUCAGAAGUGAAAUUCCUGAGCUCAACUCGGGCGCUGCUUCUGAAACUGCUAGACUUGAGUGCUGGAGGGGAUAGCGGAAUUCCUAGUGGAGCGGUAAAAUGCGCAGAUAUUAGGAAGAACACCGGUGGCGAAGGCGGCUAUCUGGACAGUAACUGACGCUGAGGCGCGAAAGCGUGGGGAGCAAACAGGAUUAGAUACCCUGGUA